rnacentral:misc_RNA from 1 species
GGAGGGAUCAUUUCUGGAAGGGCAUUUGCCCUCAGACCCUCCGGUAUUUAUACAUGGUGGCUCUCCGGCUAUCGCAGCCAUGCUAGUUCUAAACAGCGAAAGGCUUAAAUGUCUUACAAGGGUCGUAACCUUGACUGCAGAAACAGCGGACCCACUUCGGUGGAAGUCUCCUUUGGGAGAAGGACGGUCACACCAGACGAACUUAUGUCAGACGUGACACAGCAACCGUUGCUAUAGGCUUUAGCUUGCUAUUGCCGUUGCAUGUUGCGAACACAAUCUUUGUGGUGAAUCACUUGGGUACUGUGACGAUGAAGAACGUAGCAAGCCGCGUUAUUUAGUGCGACAUGCAAAGCUCGUGAAGCAUCGAACUGUCGAACAUACACACAACUGUUCAGUAUUUAUACUGCAGCAGUACUUGCUCGAGAGUGUCAGCCUUAAUAUUGUUUGGAUAAGGAUAGUGAAACACGCGGCCUGCCUGCUUUGCAGAGCAGGUUGGCUGUUCUUUGCGAUUCCUUGUUUAUCUUCUGUUUGCAUCCUAUUGCCUACAUGAAAAUUUACUAUUACAUUAUCUGACCUCUUCUGUGAGAGAUUACCUACUGAAUUUAAGCAUAUUAGUAAGUAGAGGAAUAGAAAUCAAAAGAGAUUCCCUUAGUAGCGGCGAGUGAAACGGGAAUAGUCCAUCCUGAAAUCUGGCGCAAGCCUGAUGCUGUGGGGUGAAGGGUAUUGUUCUUCAUGUUGAUUGCUGCCGAAUCCUCCUGGAAAGGGGAACCAAAGAGGGUGAAAGUCCUGUCCGGUAGCUUGAGAUGUGGCCGAAUUGUGCUCCAAGAGUAGCAUUCUUUUAAAGUAGAAUGUGAAUAUAGGUGAUGAAUUUCAUCUAAGACUAAAUAUUAACACAGUAUACCGAUAGCAAACAAGUACUGAGAAGGAAAGUUGAAAAGAUCCCUGAAGAGGGGCUGAAAAAUAUGUGAAACCACUGAGUGAACAAAGCGAAUCCAACACGUUAUUUGUUAAAUGGAAAUCAUUAUCGAGAUUUGAUACCCAGCAAUGUAUUGAAAGGUGCAUAUUGUCCAUCGGCCUGGAAGAAUACUGUCUUUUCGACUUGAAACCAAUGUAGUGAACUUGCUUCGGUAAGGGAGCUGCGGAGGCCAGGGUCUAUUUGAUGGUAUUUCGCAAGUAAUGGUCUUGGGAUUUGCUGGAUGACAUUGGAUUCGACCCGUCUUGAAACACGGACCAAGGAGUUUGACACUAUAGCAAGGGUGUGGCGUUAAAACGUAAAGCCCAUAGUGAAUGCAUACGAUGUUAGCCUCGGCGAAGCGUCAACCAAUCCAGAACUUCGGUUGGAAUUGCGUUAUAGUUAUAUUGUUGAGACCCGAAAGAUGGUGACCUAUACCUGAAUAGAUUGAAGUCAGGGUAACCUCUGAUGGAGGAUCUCGAACGGUGCUGACGUGCAAAUCGCUCGUCGUACUUGGGUAUUGGAGCGAAAGACUCAUCGAACCAUCAGGUAGCUGGUUCCUCC